ensembl:lncRNA
GGGCCUGGGUGGUGCAGCCUCUGGGCGGGGCCUGCGCAGCAGCCGGUGCGGAUUCCGCGGUGCCCAGCACAGGCGAGAACAUCCACCCGCGACGUAACUGGGAGCCUGGGGAGCUGAGCUGAGUCCGGGGUCUGCUUCUUCAGCAGGGCCCAGGGUGCUCAGCGCCCGAGGGAGGCGUUCGGGGAGUCGGCCUUUGUUCUGGCACUUUCGGGGCCUAGGAGUUAGGCAACUCUGGGGAGGUGCGAGGGGACGCCCAGUUGGGCGGGGGAGGCCUGUACAGUAGGGGCCGCGCUCUGAGCCCGAGGCACGGCUGGGGGAGCAAGUGCAGGAAGCUGGCAGCUCUUGGGGAUUUACUGAAGCAGAGUGUGGUAAAAAAGCUUGUUACAGACUCAAACUUCUUCAAAAUCUACGCAGAAAGAAGAGCCCAAGGCAAUACCCAGGAGAAGUGGAGGGAAGAGGCAAGCUCAUUGUCUUCCACACCUGCCCUACGUGUUUGCUUUUUCCUUCCUCUCUUCAUAUCAGAGGUACCCUCCUAUAGCAGGUUAUCUGGCUUUUUUUUUUUUUUUUUUUUUUUGAGACAGAGUUUCACUCUGUUGCCCAGGCUGGAGUGCAGGAGCAUGAUCUUGGCUCACCACAAUCUCCACCUCCCAGGUUCCAUCAAUUCUCUGGCCUCAGCCUCCUGAGUAGCUGGGAUUACAGGUGACUGCCACCACGCCCAGCUAAUUUUUAUAUUUUUAGUAGAGAUGGGGUUUCACCAUGUUGGCGAGGCUGGUCUUGAACUCCUGACCUCAGGUGAUUCACCUGCCUUGGCCUCCCUAAAGUACUGGGAUUAUAGGCAUAAGCCACCACAGCUGGCCGCCUUCUGAUAUUUUUAUGCCCAGCACCCAGCCCAGAGUUUGGCACAUAGUAGGUUCUAUAUAGGUGUGUAUUGAAUAAGUGAAAGACUGAAUGGCCCAACAGCAGAAAGUUAAAUAACUCAAUGACUAAUCUCCUUGAUAAUCUCUGAAGAUGAAUUAAGAUGCUCAAGCGCUGGGCCCGGUGUGGUGGCUCAUGCCUGUAAUCCCAGCACUUUGGGAGGCCUAGGUGGGUGGAUCACGAGGUCAGGAGAUGGAGACCAUCCUGGCUAACAUCGUGAAACUCCGUCUCUACUAAAAAUACAAAAAAUUAGCCGGGCGUGGUGGCGGGCGCCUGUAGUCCCAGCUACUGGGGAGGCUGAGGCAGGAGAAUGGCGUGAACCCGGGAGGUGGAGCUUGCAGUGAGCUGAGAUCGCACCACUGCACUCCAGCCUGGGCGAUAGAAUGAGACUCUGUCUAAAAAAAAAAAAAAAAGAUGCUCAGGCACUCAAUAUUUUCAAUAUUCACCAAAUAUUUUCUGACAACAUACUAUGUGUCAGGAACUAUUCCAGGCCCUGAGGAUACAGUAAGCAAACAAAACAGAAACCCGUCUUCUUAUGAAGCUAAUAUUUUGAAUUGGCCUGUUUUGGCUGAUGUAUUAUUUUACAUGGCUGGACAAAUGGCCUCCUGUCUAACUUUGGGAAAAUAACUGUAACCCUCCAGAUUCUUCUUUAUGAAAUGGAGUUGAGGAAAGGGGAUGUGAAGUCUAUUGAUGAA